AAUCAACGCUGGCGGCGUGCCUAACACAUGCAAGUCGAACGCGAAAGGGGGCUUCGGCUCCUAAGUAGAGUGGCGUCCGGGUGAGUAACACGUAGGUAAUCUGCCUUCGGGUGGGGAAUAACCAGUCGAAAGAUUGGCUAAUACCGCAUAAUGCAGCGGCACCUAAUGGUGAUUAGUUGUUAAAGCGGGGGAUCGUAAGACCUCGCGCCUGAAGAGGAGCCUGCGGCAGAUAGCUAGUUGGUGAGGUAAUGGCUCACCAAGGCUUCGAUCUGUAGCUGGUCUGAGAGGACGGCCAGCCACACUGGCACUGACACACGGGCCAGACUCCUACGGGAGGCAGCAGUGGGGAAUUUUGGGCAAUGGGCGAAAGCCUGACCCAGCAACGCCGCGUGAGGGAGGAAAUCC
rnacentral:rRNA from 1 species